UACGGGGGGGGCAAGCGUUGUUCGGAAUUACUGGGCGUAAAGGGCUCGUAGGCGGCCAACUAAGUCGGAUGUGAAAUCCCCAGGCUUAACCUGGGAACUGCAUCCGAUACUGGAUGGCUUGAAUCCGGGAGAGGGAUGCGGAAUUCCAGGUGUAGCGGUGAAAUGCGUAGAUAUCAGGAAGAACAUCGGUGGCGAAGGCGCUCUGCUGGACCAUAACUGACACUCAGGGACGAAAGCUAGGGGAGCGAAUGGG
rnacentral:rRNA from 1 species